rnacentral:snoRNA from 1 species
GUUGAGCUCCACUCCAAUGGCUCUUUUCAUCUAGCUACACAUCUCUGGGAAUGCCUCACAGAGUAACUGUUAUUAUUCACUAGUUUUAUUAACUACAAGAUAGUU